UAUACAAUCUGCCCCCUACUGUGGGAUAGCCCAGGGAAACUUGGAUUAAGACCACAUGGCACCGUAUCGCGGCAUCGCGUUUACGGUUAAAGGUUACGGUAGGGGAUGAGUAUGCGUGCCAUUAGCUAGAUGGCGGGGUAACGGCCCACCAUGGCGACGAUGGCUAGGGGCCCUGAGAGGGGGAUCCCCCACACUGGUACUGAGACACGGACCAGACUCCUACGGGAGGCAGCAGUGAGGAAUAUUGGACAAUGGGCGGGAGCCUGAUCCAGCCAUGCCGCGUGCGGGAAGAAGGCCCUACGGGUCGUAAACCGCUUUUGUACGGGAAGAAACGGGGGCACGUGUGCCCCUUUGACGGUACCGUAAGAAUAAGGACCGGCUAACUCCGUGCCAGCAGCCGCGGUAAUACGGAGGGUCCGAGCGUUAUCCGGAAUCAUUGGGUUUAAAGGGUCCGUAGGCGGGCCGUUAAGUCAGGGGUGAAAGUCUGCGGCUCAACCGUAGAACUGCCCUUGAUACUGGCGGUCUUGAGUCGUAUUGGAGUGGGCGGAAUAUGUAGUGUAGCGGUGAAAUGCAUAGAUAUUACAUAGAACACCGAUCGCGAAGGCAGCUCACUAAGUACGAACUGACGCUGAUGGACGAAAGCGUGGGGAGCGAACGGGAUUAGAUACCCCGGUAGUCCACGCCGUAAACGAUGGACACUAGCUGUGGGGCCCUUCGGGGCCCCGUGGCCAAGCGAAAGUGAUAAGUGUCCCACCUGGGGAGUACGUUCGCAAGAAUGAAACUCAAAGGAAUUGACGGGGGCCCGCACAAGCGGUGGAGCAUGUGGUUUAAUUCGAUGAUACGCGAGGAACCUUACCAGGGCUUAAAUGCAUAACGACAGGGGUGGAGACACCCUUUCCUUCGGGCGUUUU
rnacentral:rRNA from 1 species